UACGUAGGGUGCGAGCGUUGUCCGGAAUUACUGGGCGUAAAGAGCUCGUAGGUGGUUUGUCGCGUUGUCCGUGAAAACUCACAGCUUAACUGUGGGCGUGCGGGCGAUACGGGCAGACUGGAGUACUGCAGGGGAGACUGGAAUUCCUGGUGUAGCGGUGGAAUGCGCAGAUAUCAGGAGGAACACCGGUGGCGAAGGCGGGUCUCUGGGCAAUAACUGACGCUGAGGAGCGAAAGCGUGGGGAGCGAACAGG
rnacentral:rRNA from 1 species